GUCCUGCCUGUCUGUGCUGAGCGAAUUGUCUCUUGAAAGAGCCUUGACCUCUGAACUGUGGGAGAAAUGCAGCCGGCCCAGCAGAGCAGACAGCCCUGGGCGGAAGCUGCAGGGAAUUUCAGGUGGUUUGUGGGCAGCCAAUGCCCGCUGCUCUUGGAGGCCCGCCCGUGGAAAUAUUCAGCCGUAGGGAUCAGAAAUUGAGACACAAGCGAGGGAGGCACCUGUGGUGAGCUGUGUCUUGUCACCAUAGCAACUGCAUCCCGGUUGAGCCUGGCAUGGACUUGAGGGUGAUGCUAAAAACUGUCUGGUUCAGACACCCAGGCCCUUUGGCUGUGGACAACUCUGCUGCUGGGAUGGCUCUGGGGAGUCUCUGGAACUUUAAAUCCUGACUAGAGGAUUUGGGGAACUUCUGCCAGCCCCAAACUUCAUCCCCUGGGAAGCAGCUAACAAGGCGCAGGAGUGACCUGAAGCCCAAUGCCCUUGGGCCAGCCCACCCUGGUACAGAUGGCAAUCCCGGGAGUCAGGCUGACACGGAGCUGUGCUCUUUCUCUCUGUCCUGACCUCGCGGUGUGAGCACUAGGGGUGCCAAUCAGGGGAGCGGAGAGACCACCCAGGCUGACUUCCCCACCAUGGGGUUAAUCUUGGCAUGCCCCAUGCAAUGGGAGCUGGUUAAUGGGCCUGAAACCCCUGCCCUGCAGUGGCGCUAGAAUCAGAUACAGCCUGCCAGCGGGACAGCCAGGCAGACCAAAGUGCCCCAUCCCUGCCCAGAGAGCUCUGGUCCUGCAAGAGGUGUGGAGCACCUCGAUUUCCUAUUGACUGCACUCAGCAGCUUGCAGGAUCCGGGUGAGAACGGACAAAGCACUGACAGCAGCAGGGCCAGCUCCCCCGGCCCCCCCCCCAAGUGGCUCAUCUCUGACCAGCAGGGAUGAGUCAGUCUGAGUCCACCGGGCCCUCCGUGCCUCUUCAUGGAUUCUCCUGAGCCCCUUGGCUCAUUCCUUAUAAGCCUCACAGCGGCCACUGUCCUGUUGAUCCAGGCUAGAUUCAAACAGGUGCCCUCCCCACCAGGAAACUUUAUCUCCUCUUCCUGCAUUGUCCUCAGUUAUCCUUGGUGCAAUGCCAGGAAUUGGAGAACUCCCCCAUUCCCUCCCUUCCACCCCAGUGAAAACCACCUGUCCUGCUUUCUAGGGUGUGGUGUCUUCU